GACGAACGCUGGCGGCGUGCUUAACACAUGCAAGUCGAACGGAAAGGCCCUGCUUUUGUGGUGUGCUCGCGUGGCGAACGGGUGAGUAACACGUGCGUAACCUGCCCUUGACUUUGGGAUAACUUCAGGAAACUGGGGCUAAUACCGGAUAGGAGCUCCUGCUGCAUGGUGGGGGUUGGAAAGUUUCGGCGGUUGGGGAUGGACUCGCGGCUUAUCAGCUUGUUGGUGGGGUAGUGGCUUACCAAGGCUUUGACGGGUAGCCGGCCUGAGAGGGUGACCGGCCACAUUGGGACUGAGAUACGGCCCAGACUCCUACGGGAGGCAGCAGUGGGGAAUAUUGCACAAUGGGCGGAAGCCUGAUGCAGCAACGCCGCGUGCGGGAUGACGGCCUUCGGGUUGUAAACCGCUUUCGCCUGUGACGAAGCGUGAGUGACGGUAAUGGGUAAAGAAGCACCGGCUAACUACGUG
rnacentral:rRNA from 1 species